rnacentral:rRNA from 1 species
AGUCGAGGGGCAGCGGGGAAAAGCUUGCUUUUCCGCCGGCGACCGGCGCACGGGUGCGCACCGCGUAUGGAACCUACCUUUUACAGGGGAAUAGCCCAGGGAAACUUGGAUUAAUGCCCCGUGGCACCAUUUUCUGGCAUCAGGAUAUGGUUAAAGCCUUCGGGCGGUAGAAGAUGGCCAUGCGUCCCAUUAGCUUGAUGGUAAGGUAACGGCUUACCAUGGCUACGAUGGGUAGGGGCCCUGAGAGGGGGAUCCCCCACACUGGUACUGAGACACGGACCAGACUCCUACGGGAGGCAGCAGUGAGGAAUAUUGGACAAUGGAGGGGACUCUGAUCCAGCCAUGCCGCGUGCAGGAAGAAUGCCCUAUGGGUAGUAAACUGCUUUUAUACGGGAAGAAAAAGGGCUACGUGUAGCCUGUUGACGGUACCGUAAGAAUAAGGACCGGCUAACUCCGUGCCAGCAGCCGCGGUAAUACGGAGGGUCCGAGCGUUAUCCGGAAUUAUUGGGUUUAAAGGGUCCGUAGGCGGGCCGGUAAGUCAGUGGUGAAAGUCUGUAGCUCAACUAUAGAAUUGCCUUUGAUACUGCUGGUCUUGAGUUAUGGUGAAGUUGCCGGAAUAUGUGGUGUAGCGGUGAAAUGCAUAGAUAUCACAUAGAACACCGAUUGCGAAGGCAGGUGACUAACCAUAUACUGACGCUGAUGGACGAAAGCGUGGGGGAGCGAACAGGAUUA